rnacentral:rRNA from 1 species
UACGGGGGGUGCGAGCGUUGUCCGGAAUCACUGGGCGUAAAGGGCGCGUAGGUGGCGUCGUAAGUCUGUGGUGAAAGCCCGGAGCUCAACUCCGGGUCUGCCGCGGAUACUGCGAGGCUUGAGUGCUGUAGAGGGGGGUAGAAUGCCGGGUGUAGCGGUGGAAUGCGUAGAGAUCCGGAAGAACACCGGUGGCGAAGGCGGUCUGCUGGGCCGAUACUGACGCUGAGGAGCGAAAGCGUGGGGAGCGAACAGG